rnacentral:rRNA from 1 species
GGAGUCUGGGCCGUGUCUCAGUCCCAGUCUGGAUGAUCAUCCUCUCAAACCAUCUAACGAUCGUCGACUUGGUAAGCCAUUACCUCACCAACUAUCUAAUCGUACGCAGGCCAGUCCCAAACCGGAUAAAUCCUUUAAUCCGAAGAUCACAUGCGGUAUUAGCAACUCUUUCGAGUAGUUAUCCCUCAGUUUGGGGUCCGUUCCCACGCGUUACUCAGCCGUCCGCCGCUCGUCAGCAACUAGCAAGCUAGUUCUGUUACCGCUCGACUUGCAUGUAUUAGGCACGCCGCCAGCGUUCAUC